CCCCGGCCCGCGCGCCCGCGAGCUGGAGGACCUGGAGGACAGGGAGCCCGGGCCCCCGGAGUUGCUUCCCUUCGUCCAGGUUCCCGGAGGACUCCUGAGAGGCUCGACCCCAGCUGGAACUCAGGGCGGGGGUUGGUGGUGCUGGGAGGACCCGCUGAAGUCUUAUGGACAAGAAAUCGUGUAACUUCACAAAAGAAAAACUUUAAUCAUUCCAUUGAUCUUUGAAAGACUGCAAUCUUACUUAACAUGUCAGUUUAAAAAAAAAUUACUAAUAUUCCACCUAUGAGAAAUAUUUAAUGUAUAAAUUGAUAUACUGUGCACCUUAUUCACCAGUCACAUGAAAAGAAUCUAUUUUGAAAAUAGAUUCUGUCGGUAAUGUGUGAUGUGACACUAUUAAAAAAAGUGUCACUUAUGAAACAGUAUCAGACAUCUGAAGUAGUACUAUCAACUUCAAACCUGGCAUAAAAUAAUGAGAUGAACUA